GGGUCAGUAGGUUGGUCGUGCCACCGGUACGUACUGGUCUCACUGAUUCCUCUUUCCUGAAGAACCGUGAUGCCAUUAAUUUGGUGUUGCGGGGAAACAGGACUGUUACUUUGAAAAAAUUAGAGUGUUUAAAGCAGGCUAACGCUUGAAUACAUUAGCAUGGAAUAAUGAAAUAGGACGAUCGAUCCUAUUUUGUUGGUUUCUAGGAUUGACGUA
rnacentral:rRNA from 1 species